rnacentral:rRNA from 1 species
AUUGAACGCUGGCGGUAUGCUUAACACAUGCAAGUCGAACGGUAACAGGCCCUGCUUGCAGGGUGCUGACGAGUGGCGGACGGGUGAGUAACGCGUAGGGAUCUGCCUUAGAGUGGGGGAUAACCUGGGGAAACUCAGGCUAAUACCGCAUAUUCUUGCAAAAGGAAAGUGGGGGACCGCAAGGCCUCACGCUCUAAGAUGAACCUGCGUUGGAUUAGCUUGUUGGUAGGGUAAAGGCCUACCAAGGCGACGAUCCAUAGCUGGUCUGAGAGGACGAUCAGCCACACUGGGACUGAGACACGGCCCAG